rnacentral:rRNA from 1 species
GACGAACGCUGGCGGCGUGCUUAACACAUGCAAGUCGAACGGAAAGGCCCUGCUUUUGUGGGGUGCUCGAGUGGCGAACGGGUGAGUAACACGUGAGUAACCUGCCCUUGACUUUGGGAUAACUUCAGGAAACUGGGGCUAAUACCGGAUAGGAGCUCCUGCUGCAUGGUGGGGGUUGGAAAGUUUCGGCGGUUGGGGAUGGACUCGCGGCUUAUCAGCUUGUUGGUGGGGUAGUGGCUUACCAAGGCUUUGACGGGUAGCCGGCCUGAGAGGGUGACCGGCCACAUUGGGACUGAGAUACGGCCCCGACUCCUACGGGAGGCAGCAGUGGGGAAUAUUGCACAAUGGGCGGAAGCCUGAUGCAGCAACGCCGCGUGCGGGAUGACGGCCUUCGGGUUGUAAACCGCUUUCGCCUGUGACGAAGCGUGAGUGACGGUAAUGGGUAAAGAAGCAACGGCUAACUACGUG